GGUCAAGUGAAGAAGCGCAUACGGUGGAUGCCUUGGCAGUCAGAGGCGAUGAAAGACGUGGUAGCCUGCGAAAAGCUUCGGGGAGUCGGCAAACAGACUUUGAUCCGGAGAUGUCUGAAUGGGGGAACCCAGCCAUCAUAAGAUGGUUAUCUUGUACUGAAUACAUAGGUGCAAGAGGCGAACCAGGGGAACUGAAACAUCUAAGUACCCUGAGGAAAAGAAAUCAACCGAGAUUCCCUUAGUAGUGGCGAGCGAACGGGGACUAGCCCUUAAGUGGCUUUGAGAUUAGCGGAACGCUCUGGAAAGUGCGGCCAUAGUGGGUGAUAGCCCUGUACGCGAAAAUCUCUUAGUCAUGAAAUCGAGUAGGACGGAGCACGAGAAACUUUGUCUGAAUAUGGGGGGACCAUCCUCCAAGGCUAAAUACUACUGACUGACCGAUAGUGAACUAGUACCGUGAGGGAAAGGCGAAAAGAACCCCGGAGAGGGGAGUGAAAUAGAUCCUGAAACCGUAUGCGUACAAGCAGUGGGAGCAGACUUUGUUCUGUGACUGCGUACCUUUUGUAUAAUGGGUCAGCGACUUAUUUUCAGUGGCGAGCUUAACCGAAUAGGGGAGGCGUAGCGAAAGCGAGUCUUAAUAGGGCGUCUAGUCGCUGGGAAUAGACCCGAAACCGGGCGAUCUAUCCAUGGGCAGGUUGAAGGUUAGGUAACACUGACUGGAGGACCGAACCGACUACCGUUGAAAAGUUAGCGGAUGACCUGUGGAUCGGAGUGAAAGGCUAAUCAAGCUCGGAGAUAGCUGGUUCUCCUCGAAAGCUAUUUAGGUAGCGCCUCAUGUAUCACUGUAGGGGGUAGAGCACUGUUUCGGCUAGGGGGUCAUCCCGACUUACCAAACCGAUGCAAACUCCGAAUACCUACAAGUGCCGAGCAUGGGAGACACACGGCGGGUGCUAACGUCCGUCGUGAAAAGGGAAACAACCCAGACCGUCAGCUAAGGUCCCAAAGUUAUGGUUAAGUGGGAAACGAUGUGGGAAGGCUUAGACAGCUAGGAGGUUGGCUUAGAAGCAGCCACCCUUUAAAGAAAGCGUAAUAGCUCACUAGUCGAGUCGGCCUGCGCGGAAGAUGUAACGGGGCUCAAACCAUACACCGAAGCUACGGGUAUCACGUAAGUGAUGCGGUAGAGGAGCGUUCUGUAAGCCUGUGAAGGUGAGUUGAGAAGCUUGCUGGAGGUAUCAGAAGUGCGAAUGCUGACAUGAGUAACGACAAUGGGUGUGAAAAACACCCACGCCGAAAGACCAAGGUUUCCUGCGCAACGUUAAUCGACGCAGGGUUAGUCGGUCCCUAAGGCGAGGCUGAAAAGCGUAGUCGAUGGAAAACAGGUUAAUAUUCCUGUACUUCUGGUUAUUGCGAUGGAGGGACGGAGAAGGCUAGGCCAGCUUGGCGUUGGUUGUCCAAGUUUAAGGUGGUAGGCUGGAAUCUUAGGUAAAUCCGGGAUUCUAAGGCCGAGAGCUGAUGACGAGUUGCCUUUAGGCGACGAAGUGGUUGAUGCCAUGCUUCCAAGAAAAGCUUCUAAGCUUCAGAUAACCAGGAACCGUACCCCAAACCGACACAGGUGGUUGGGUAGAGAAUACCAAGGCGCUUGAGAGAACUCGGGUGAAGGAACUAGGCAAAAUGGCACCGUAACUUCGGGAGAAGGUGCGCCGGUGAGGGUGAAGCACUUGCUGCGUAAGCCCACGCCGGUCGAAGAUACCAGGCCGCUGCGACUGUUUAUUAAAAACACAGCACUCUGCAAACACGAAAGUGGACGUAUAGGGUGUGACGCCUGCCCGGUGCCGGAAGGUUAAUUGAUGGGGUUAGCUAACGCGAAGCUCUUGAUCGAAGCCCCGGUAAACGGCGGCCGUAACUAUAACGGUCCUAAGGUAGCGAAAUUCCUUGUCGGGUAAGUUCCGACCUGCACGAAUGGCGUAACGAUGGCGGCGCUGUCUCCACCCGAGACUCAGUGAAAUUGAAAUCGCUGUGAAGAUGCAGUGUAUCCGCGGCUAGACGGAAAGACCCCGUGAACCUUUACUAUAGCUUUGCACUGGACUUUGAAUUUGCUUGUGUAGGAUAGGUGGGAGGCUUUGAAGCGUGGACGCCAGUUCGCGUGGAGCCAUCCUUGAAAUACCACCCUGGCAACUUUGAGGUUCUAACUCAGGUCCGUUAUCCGGAUCGAGGACAGUGUAUGGUGGGUAGUUUGACUGGGGCGGUCUCCUCCUAAAGAGUAACGGAGGAGUACGAAGGUGCGCUCAGACCGGUCGGAAAUCGGUCGUAGAGUAUAAAGGCAAAAGCGCGCUUGACUGCGAGACAGACACGUCGAGCAGGUACGAAAGUAGGUCUUAGUGAUCCGGUGGUUCUGUAUGGAAGGGCCAUCGCUCAACGGAUAAAAGGUACUCCGGGGAUAACAGGCUGAUACCGCCCAAGAGUUCAUAUCGACGGCGGUGUUUGGCACCUCGAUGUCGGCUCAUCACAUCCUGGGGCUGAAGCCGGUCCCAAGGGUAUGGCUGUUCGCCAUUUAAAGUGGUACGCGAGCUGGGUUUAGAACGUCGUGAGACAGUUCGGUCCCUAUCUGCCGUGGACGUUUGAGAUUUGAGAGGGGCUGCUCCUAGUACGAGAGGACCGGAGUGGACGAACCUCUGGUGUUCCGGUUGUCACGCCAGUGGCAUUGCCGGGUAGCUAUGUUCGGGAAAGAUAACCGCUGAAAGCAUCUAAGCGGGAAACUUGCCUCAAGAUGAGAUCUCACUGGAACCUUGAGUUCCCUGAAGGGCCGUCGAAGACUACGACGUUGAUAGGUUGGGUGUGUAAGCGCUGUGAGGCGUUGAGCUAACCAAUACUAAUUGCCCGUGAGGCUUGACCAU
rnacentral:rRNA from 4 species